GCCAAACUUACUGCUUCACUCUGCGGCCAUUAUGCGGUCCGCAGAGUGAUUAUGCGGACGCAUAAUGGGCAGCAAAAAUGCGUUCUUCUGCGAAAUAUUUUCCUCUCAGUCCGUAUGGUACUGUUUAAUCCAAAAAAGUCCGAACCACGCAGAAAUCUAACUUGGCACCAUAAAACCCCAAGUUUUUAAUUUAAAUUUUUACGGGUCCUUACAGAAAGAUUACUUAAUCAUCAAUUUUUGUAUAUCAAAUAAGAACCUUCUAUAAUAUUUAACAGAUACAUGGUUACACUGACAACAUAUAGUACUACUCACUAUAAAACUAAAUUUCUACUAAACUUAUGUAUUUCUGUAAACUAAGUUACUAGAAUAACUUUUCUAUUAUAUAAAAAAGAUAAGUUGGUCGACCAAGGGUAGUUUCGAAAUUCCGCAUAUAUUGAGGGAUAAAUUGGUAAUUCUGCCACUUAAGCCAUAGAUACAUCUUUGCAUACCGUAGCUAUCAAUGUCUCUCUCUUUAAGAAGCACUCCCUCAGUUUCUCUCUUCAUAAGCAAACAUACUUCUUCAUCAUAAGGUACUUCUUUUCUUUUUUCAAUGAUUGUUGUGUUUUUGUCUGCUUCGUAUUCUCUAUCUCUGUUUCACAAGCCAUAUAUGUAGGUCAUAGUUUCCCAAGUACUCCCCCUCCCCCCACCAAUUUCGGUUUUUUUUUGAACAACUGAAAAAGGAUCUUUCUGAUGAGGAGUAUAAAACUUCACAAACAAACUUGAAUUACAGAUUCCCUGCUACAACAAUUUGCGGAAUAGCCGCCCCAAUAUUUUUUAAUUAUUUGUAUACCUAUCCCAAUCAGAUAGUAAGAAAGGGCAACAAUGCAGACGAAGAAGAUAAAUUUGUCAGAAAUUGAGUAUACUAAAUGAGCUAAUCUUCCCUAUAUCGUGACAAGGAAACAACAAAUAUUGAAGUAGGCUAUGCACAUAUGGUAUUUGAUGAUAUGCCUUAUCCAUCUAAUGUUGUUGUGCGCUUACUAAUUCCUAAGAGCAUUUGCUUUCACUAUUUUGUUUCUUUUUUGAUGUUGUUAUUUAUUUAUACUUUUUAUACAUCGAAUCUAAAAAAUGUUGCACUUUUUAUCGAAACAGUUUGGUCAUUUGUUCACAUAAACGUAACAAAAUUGAAAAAGAGGAAGUAUAAAAUAGGAGUAUCGGAGAGAGCUCUUGCCUUGGUCGUGAACAGAAGUAUGAACAAUCUGACCAUACUUUUUCUUUUGUUGAGAAAGAUUACUUAAUCAUCAAUUUUUGUAUAUCAAAUAAGAACCUUCUAUAAUAUUUAACAGAUACAUGGUUACACUGACAACAUAUAGUACUACUCACUAUAAAACUAAAUUUCUACUAAACUUAUGUAUUUCUGUAAACUAAGUUACUGGAAUAACUGGUGAAGACAUAUUUCGUGCAUUGCUGAUAAAAUGUUGCAUAUUGUAUGUAAUUCCUCUUCCUACAACAGAACUUUACAGAAUGAUCCGGAAAAAGGAUAAUAAUGGCAACUAUUCUGUCAGCUGUUAACAUUAAGCCUUCCUUUCACACAACUGGCAAUUGAACUUAUAUGAAAAUGUAUAUAGGCUCUGUACCUCUAGCCCUCCUCUCCAUAGUCAUUAGUUUUGUUUGAACAACUUUGCACAAUGGUUAUCUGACAAAAGAGGUUACACCUUAUGUAAUACAUAUUAACUUUGCUCCAGUAACUAAGAAGACAUGAGUUUUUCUUAGCAUUGUCUCAUAGCUACUUAACUAUGUAAGUGUUCUAUCUAUGUUCGAAGUUGAAUUGGAUCAUGCAUGGUGAUCUAAGAGGCGCUAUCAGCAGUUGUUUAAGAAGGAAGAUAGGAACACAAGACCGCUUUUGACACAGUACCUGCUUGUAUACUAUGGACUAGAUGAAACGAAAGUAACUACCAUUGUUUUAAUUUGUGAUAUACACACAAAAAGACAAGUGUAUGCACCUGUUAGCUUUUGGACUAACUUGCAAAAUGUAUAUAAUUUAAUGUAUACUACUUGGUGUUAAUUAAUAAAGUUGAUCACUUAUCUA